rnacentral:rRNA from 1 species
UCUUCGGAGUGACUCGAGUGGCGAACGGGUGAGUACACGUGGGUGAUCUGCCCUGCACUUUGGGAUAAGCCUGAGAAACUGGGUCUAAUACCGGAUAGGACCGCAUGCUUCAUGGUGUGUGGUGGAAAGCUUUUGCGGUGUGGGAUGGGCCCGCGGCCUAUCAGCUUGUUGGUGGGGUAAUGGCCUACCAAGGCGACGACGGGUAGCCGGCCUGAGAGGGUGUCCGGCCACACUGGGACUGAGAUACGGCCCAGACUCCUACGGGAGGCAGCAGUGGGGAAUAUUGCACAAUGGGCGCAAGCCUGAUGCAGCGACGCCGCGUGAGGGAUGACGGCCUUCGGGUUGUAAACCUCUUUCAGUAGGGACGAAGCGCAAGUGACGGUACCUAUAGAAGAAGCACCGGCCAACUACGUGCCAGCAGCCGCGGUAAUACGUAGGGUGCGAGCGUUGUCCGGAAUUACUGGGCGUAAAGAGCUCGUAGGUGGUUUGUCGCGUUGUUCGUGAAAACUCACAGCUUAACUGUGGGCGUGCGGGCGAUACGGGCAGACUGGAGUACUGCAGGGGAGACUGGAAUUCCUGGUGUAGCGGUGGAAUGCGCAGAUAUCAGGAGGAACACCGGUGGCGAAGGCGGGUCUCUGGGCAGUAACUGACGCUGAGGAGCGAAAGCGUGGGGAGCGAACAGGAUUAGAUACCCUGGUAGUCCACGCCGUAAACGGUGGGUACUAGGUGUGGGUUUCCUUCCUUGGGAUCCGUGCCGUAGCUAACGCAUUAAGUACCCCGCCUGGGGAGUACGGCCGCAAGGCUAAAACUCAAAGGAAUUGACGGGGGCCCGCACAAGCGGCGGAGCAUGUGGAUUAAUUCGAUGCAACGCGAAGAACCUUACCU